UGUCACUUAUGGAUGGACCCGCGUCGCAUUASCUAGUUGGUGAGGUAACGGYUCACCAAGGCAACGAUGCGUASCCGACCUGARAGGGUGAUCGGCCACACUGGGACUGARACACGGCCCARACUCCUACGGGAGGCAGCAGUAGGGAAUCUUCCGCAAUGGACGAAAGUCUGACGGAGCAACGCCGCGUGAGUGAUGAAGGCUUUCGGGUCGUAAAACUCUGUUGUUAGGGAAGAACAAGUGCUAGUUGAAUAAGCUGGCACCUUGACGGUACCUAACCAGAAAGCCACGGCUAACUACGUGCCAGCAGCCGCGGUAAUACGUAGGUGGCAAGCGUUAUCCGGAAUUAUUGGGCGUAAAGCGCGCGCAGGUGGUUUCUUAAGUCUGAUGUGAAAGCCCACGGCUCAACCGUGGAGGGUCAUUGGAAACUGGGAGACUUGAGUGCAGAAGAGGAAAGUGGAAUUCCAUGUGUAGCGGUGAAAUGCGUAGAGAUAUGGAGGAACACCAGUGGCGAAGGCGACUUUCUGGUCUGUAACUGACACUGAGGCGCGAAAGCGUGGGGAGCAAACAGGAUUAGAUACCCUGGUAGUCCACGCCGUAAACGAUGAGUGCUAAGUGUUAGAGGGUUCCG
rnacentral:rRNA from 2 species